UUUCCGUAGGUGAACCUGCGGAAGGAUCAUUAUUGUAUAACCUAUGUGCGAGGUCUUUCGCUGACCCGAAAGGUCUUGCACACGCCAGUGGCCUCACACACAUCCAUCUCACCCCUAUGUUUACCACCGCGUGGGUCCGCCUUUGGCUUGUUCUGAGGAGGGCUUACAUUUACAACCAAACUUUUUAGGCAUUUUGGAACUUAUUUUUUGUUUUUGCGAUGACGCAAUGAAGACAACUUUCAACAACGGAUCUCAUGGCUCUCUCAUCGGUUAACCACC
rnacentral:misc_RNA from 1 species